AGUACUGUGAAGGAAAGGUGAAAAGGACCCCGGGAGGGGAGUGAAAGAGAACCUGAAACCCUGUGUUUACAAGCUGUGGAACUACGUUAAGGUAGGACCGCGUACUUUUUGUAGAACGGUCCGGCGAGUUUCUUGUACCGGCAAGGUUAAGCACUUAAGGUGCGGAGCCGAAGUGAAAGCAAGUGUUAAUAGCACGCAUAAGUCAGUACAAGAAGACCCGAAACCGGGUGAUCUACCCAUGUCCAGGUUGAAGUCGCCGUAAAAGGCGAUGGAGGACCGAACGCACAUCCGUUGAAAAGGGUGGCGAUGAGGUGUGGGUAGGGGAGAAAUUCCAAUCGAACCCGGAGAUAGCUGGUUCUCCUCGAAAUAGCUUUAGGGCUAGCCUCGUAUUAGUCUUGCGGAGGUAGAGCACUGAAUAUCCUAGGGGGCGUCAAAGCUUACCGAAGAUUAUCAAACUCCGAAUGCCGCGUAGAUGAUGUACGGGAGUCAGACUGCACGAGAUAAGUUGGGUAGUCAAAAGGGAAAGAGCCCAGACCACCAGCUAAGGUCCCAAAGUGCGUGUUAAGUGGUAAAGGAUGUGGGAUUUCGAAGACAACUAGGAUGUUGGCUCAGAAGCAGCCAUACAUUCAAAGAGUGCGUAAUAGCUCACUAGUCGAGAGGUCCUGCGCCGAAAAUGUCCGGGGCUAAAACACGACACCGAAGCUGUGGAUCCGAAAGGAUGGUAGAGGAGCAUUCUUAAGUCGACGAAGCUGUACUGUAAGGAGCAGUGGAGAGUUAAGAAGAGAGAAUGCCGGAAUGAGUAGCGAGAUUUAAGUGAGAAUCUUAAAGGCCGAAUAUCUAAGGUUUCCAGGGUAAAGCUGAUCUUCCCUGGGUAAGUCGGGGCCUAAGGCGAGGGCGAGAGCCGUAGUCGAUGGAUAACAGGUUGAAAUUCCUGUACUGCUUAUGGACAGAACUGUGGGGACGCAGAAGGAGAGCACGAGCCGGAAAUGGAAAAGCCGGUACAAGCGUAUAGCAGUCAUGCAGGCAAAACCGCAUGAAAAAUGUAAAGCGUUAUGUGGAUCGAACAUUAGUAGAGAAGCGUGUGAGCCAGCUGCCAAGAAAAGCCGCUAUUGUUUCAUAAGUACCCGUACCGUAAACCGACACAGGUGGAUGAGGAGAGAAUCCUAAGGCCGGCGGGAGAAGCAUUGUUAAGGAACUCGGCAAAAUGACCCCGUAACUUCGGGAGAAGGGGUGCUCCAGAGAUGGAGCCGCAGAGAACUGGCCCAAGCAACUGUUUAGCAAAAACACAGGUCUAUGCAAAACCGAAAGGUGAGGUAUAUGGGCUGACGCCUGCCCGGUGCUGGAAGGUUAAGAGGAGAGGUUAGAGCAAUCGAAGCUUUGAAUUUAAGCCCCAGUAAACGGCGGCCGUAACUAUAACGGUCCUAAGGUAGCGAAAUUCCUUGUCGGG
rnacentral:rRNA from 1 species